rnacentral:tRNA from 1 species
GAAAAAUUAGUUAAUUUAUAAUAUUAGCUUGUCAUGCUAAAGUAGUCUUCUUGACAUUUUUCU